rnacentral:rRNA from 1 species
GAUGAACGCUGGCGGCGUGCUUAACACAUGCAAGUCGAACGAAGCACUUUAUUUGAUUUCCUUCGGGACUGAUUAUUUUGUGACUGAGUGGCGGACGGGUGAGUAACGCGUGGGUAACCUGCCUUGUACAGGGGGAUAACAGUUGGAAACGGCUGCUAAUACCGCAUAAGCGCACGGCAUCGCAUGAUGCAGUGUGAAAAACUCCGGUGGUAUAAGAUGGACCCGCGUUGGAUUAGCUAGUUGGUGAGGUAACGGCCCACCAAGGCGACGAUCCAUAGCCGACCUGAGAGGGUGACCGGCAACAUUGGGACUGAGACACGGCCCAAACUCCUACGGGAGGCAGCAGUGGGGAAUAUUGAACAAUGGGCGAAAGCCUGAUGCAGCGACGCCGCGUGAGCGAAGAAGUAUUUCGGUAUGUAAAGCUCUAUCAGCAGGGAAGAUAAUGACGGUACCUGACGAAGAAGCACCGGCUAAAUACGUG